rnacentral:lncRNA from 10 species
UGGCUGAACUUCAAGAAACUACUAAAUGAGGCAUCCACCACUCAUCACUGUGUGGAGACUGGAAGCCAGGAAGCAUCUGCCAUCUACUUCACUAGUGGGACCAGUGGUCUUCCCAAGAUGGCAGAACAUUCCUACUCGAGCCUGGGCCUCAAGGCCAAGAUGGAUGCUGGUUGGACAGGCCUGCAAGCCUCUGAUAUAAUGUGGACCAUAUCAGACACAGGUUGGAUACUGAACAUCUUGGGCUCACUUUUGGAAUCUUGGACAUUAGGAGCAUGCACAUUUGUUCAUCUCUUGCCAAAGUUUGACCCACUGGUUAUUCUAAAGGUCUUUAGAUCAACUCAACCAAUUGUCAACCAGAAAAAAUUUAAAUCUACCUAUAAGCUGGAAGCCCCCGCUUCAAGUUGCCCCACCUUUCUGGACCAAACCAAUGUAUUUUUUAAAUGUGUUUGAUUGAUGUCUUAUGUCUCCCUAAAAUGUAUAAAACCAAAGUGCACCCUGACCACCUUGGGCACGUGUUCUCAGGACCUCCUGAGGGCUCUGUCAUGGCCAUGGUUACUCAUGUUUGGCUCAGAAUAAAUCUCUUCAAAUAUUU